GACGAACGCUGGCGGCGUGCUUAACACAUGCAAGUCGAACGGAAAGGCCCUGCUUUUGUGGGGUGCUCGAGUGGCGAACGGGUGAGUAACACGUGAGUAACCUGCCCUUGGCUUUGGGAUAACUUCAGGAAACUGGGGCUAAUACCGGAUAGGAGCUCCUGCUGCAUGGUGGGGGUUGGAAAGUUUCGGCGGUUGGGGAUGGACUCGCGGCUUAUCAGCUUGUUGGUGGGGUAGUGGCUUACCAAGGCUUUGACGGGUAGCCGGCCUGAGAGGGUGACCGGCCACAUUGGGACUGAGAUACGACCCAGACUCCUACGGGAGGCAGCAGUGGGGAAUAUUGCACAAUGGGCGGAAGCCUGAUGCAGCAACGCCGCGUGCGGGAUGACGGCCUUCGGGUUGUAAACCGCUUUCGCCUGUGACGAAGCGUGAGUGACGGUAAUGGGUAAAGAAGCACCGGCUAACUACGUG
rnacentral:rRNA from 1 species